CCUAACCUAAAACCUAUACACACAAUACAUAGAUACACGAAGGAAGGGGGCUGCGCUGGUCUUUUGAACAAAAACAUACGCAUAUACAAUAGAUAGAGACGUUGGGAGCAGGCUGUGGAAGUGGGGCUGCUUCUUCACAAAAACACACACACAACACACAAUAGAUAGAGAACUCGUGGAAAAGCUGAGAAGGAGAAGCUGCACAACAACUGCACAAUACAAACGACCCCGCCUUCCCUUUGAACUUGAUCUUCUCCAAACAACCCCCCUGUUCUUUAUAUUUUUGAAGCAGCCAUCCAUGCCUUUUGGCUGAACGGAAAAUAAGACCCCCUCCAGCCGAUGCUCUCCUUUUAAUCAAGUGAACUUGGAGUCUAUUUUAAAAAGCAUGAUUUGUGCUCCUUUCCCAUUUACUCAAUGUGAGUUUACUAUUUCGUGUAUGAAUUGAUAAAUAUUUAAAGAAGGGUAUGUAGAGUUCAACUUUAGAAAUUAACAGAAUUGGAAAAGUAACUAAGGUAAUACAAAAUCUUUUAAUGGCUUCUCCUAA
rnacentral:lncRNA from 1 species